rnacentral:rRNA from 1 species
AGCAAAAGAAACCAACAGGGAUUGCCCUAGUAACGGCGAGUGAAGCGGCAACAGCUCAAAUUUGAAAUCUGGCGUCUUUGGCGUCCGAGUUGUAAUUUGCAGAGGGCGCUUUGGCAUUGGCAGCGGUCCAAGUUCCUUGGAACAGGACGUCACAGAGGGUGAGAAUCCCGUACGUGGUCGCUAGCCUUUACCGUGUAAAGCCCCUUCGACGAGUCGAGUUGUUUGGGAAUGCAGCUCUAAAUGGGAGGUAAAUUUCUUCUAAAGCUAAAUACUGGCCAGAGACCGAUAGCGCACAAGUAGAGUGAUCGAAAGAUGAAAAGCACUUUGGAAAGAGAGUUAAAAAGCACGUGAAAUUGUUGAAAGGGAAGCGCUUGCAGCCAGACUUGCCUGUAGUUGCUCAUCCGGGUUUCUACCCGGUGCACUCUUCUACGGGCAGGCCAGCAUCAGUUUGGGCGGUUGGAUAAAGGUCUCUGUCAUGUACCUCCCUUCGGGGAGAUCUUAUAGGGGAGACGACAUGCAACCAGCCUGGACUGAGGUCCGCGCAUCUGCUAGGAUGCUGGCGUAAUGGCUGUAAGCGGC